AGCGAACGCUGGCGGCAGGCUUAACACAUGCAAGUCGAGCGGGCACUUCGGUGUCAGCGGCAGACGGGUGAGUAACACGUGGGAACGUACCCUUUGGUUCGGAAUAACGCUGGGAAACUAGCGCUAAUACCGGAUACGCCCUUUUGGGGAAAGGCUUGCUGCCGAAGGAUCGGCCCGCGUCUGAUUAGCUAGUUGGUGGGGUAAUAGCCUACCAAGGCGACGAUCAGUAGCUGGUCUGAGAGGAUGAUCAGCCACACUGGGACUGAGACACGGCCCAGACUCCUACGGGAGGCAGCAGUGGGGAAUAUUGGACAAUGGGCGCAAGCCUGAUCCAGCCAUGCCGCGUGAGUGAUGAAGGCCUUAGGGUUGUAAAGCUCUUUUGUCCGGGACGAUAAUGACGGUACCGGAAGAAUAAGCCCCGGCUAACUUCGUG
rnacentral:rRNA from 1 species